rnacentral:lncRNA from 1 species
AAACAUCCCUGGGUGUUGAAACAGUAACAGACUUCGAUGUACUCUAAUUGGUGACAAAUGCUAGAAGUUUACAUGCGGACAACUGCCGUUCUCCUCUACACUUAUGAAGAAAUGAACUAAACGGAAUAAAAUGUAUUAAAACUCAAGAUGACCAAAUGUAGCUGCAUUCGCUCAUUUCCAUUUACUACUUGAGAAUGAUUUGUAAACAACAUAUGAUUAAGUAAUAGAAAUAAAGAACCAAUUGAACGAUGCUUACGAAUUAGGGUUAAACGUCCAGUGACAAAUAUCAUGUGCAUAUGAGAAUGACAACACGUUAUAUGUACCCUGUGUUGUAUUAGAAAGACACUUUCAGUCGGAUUUGAGAACGUGCUACUUUGAACAGAC